UACGUAGGGUGCAAGCGUUGUCCGGAAUUAUUGGGCGUAAAGAGCUCGUAGGCGGUCUGUCGCGUCUGCUGUGAAAACUCGGGGCUUAACCCCGGGCCUGCAGUGGGUACGGGCAGACUAGAGUGCGGUAGGGGAGACUGGAAUUCCUGGUGUAGCGGUGAAAUGCGCAGAUAUCAGGAGGAACACCGGUGGCGAAGGCGGGUCUCUGGGCCUGUACUGACGCUGAGGAACGAAAGCGUGGGGAGCGAACAGG
rnacentral:rRNA from 1 species